rnacentral:rRNA from 1 species
UACGGAGGAUGCGAGCGUUAUCCGGAUUUAUUGGGUUUAAAGGGUGCGUAGGCGGGCUUUUGAGUCAGCGGUAAAAAUUCGGGGCUCAACCCCGUCCGGCCGUUGAAACUGGGGGUCUUGAGUGGGCGAGAAGAAGGCGGAAUGCGUGGUGUAGCGGUGAAAUGCAUAGAUAUCACGCAGAACCCCGAUUGCGAAGGCAGCCUUCCGGCGCCCUACUGACGCUGAGGCACGAAAGUGCGGGGAUCGAACAGG